AGUUGGUCAAAGUGCAGUGGUGUUUACAACUAAUUGAUCACAACCAGUUACAGAUUUUUUUUUAUAACUUCUCCACUCCCACUGUUUGACUAGCUUAAA
rnacentral:Y_RNA from 1 species